UACAGAGGUGGCGAGCGUUGUUCGGAUUUACUGGGCGUAAAGGGCGCGUAGGCGGCCGCGCGUGUCGGGUGUGAAAUCCCAGGGCUCAACCCUGGAAGUGCGCCCGAAACUGCGUGGCUGGAGUGCGGGAGGGGGGAUCGGAAUGCAGGGUGUAGCGGUGAAAUGCGUUGAUAUCCUGCAGAACACCGGUGGCGAAGGCGGAUCCCUGGAACGCAACUGACGCUGAGGCGCGAAAGCCGGGGGAGCAAACAGG
rnacentral:rRNA from 1 species